rnacentral:rRNA from 1 species
GAUGAACGCUGGCGGCGUGCCUAAUACAUGCAAGUCGAGCGAACGGUCGAGAAGCUUGCUUCUCUGAUGUUAGCGGCGGACGGGUGAGUAACACGUGGAUAACCUACCUAUAAGACUGGGAUAACUUCGGGAAACCGGAGCUAAUACCGGAUAAUAUUUUGAACCGCAUGGUUCAAAAGUGAAAGAGGGUCUUGCUGUCACUUAUAGAUGGAUCCGCGCUGCAUUAGCUAGUUGGUAAGGUAACGGCUUACCAAGGCAACGAUGCAUAGCCGACCUGAGAGGGUGAUCGGCCACACUGGAACUGAGACACGGUCCAGACUCCUACGGGAGGCAGCAGUAGGGAAUCUUCCGCAAUGGGCGAAAGCCUGACGGAGCAACGCCGCGUGAGUGAUGAAGGUCUUCGGAUCGUAAAACUCUGUUAUUAGGGAAGAACAUAUGUGUAAGUAACUGUGCACAUCUUGACGGUACCUAAUCAGAAAGCCACGGCUAACUACGUG